AUACAGAGGGUGCGAGCGUUAAUCGGAAUUACUGGGCGUAAAGCGCGCGUAGGCGGCUUAUUAAGUCAGAUGUGAAAUCCCCGGGCUCAACCUGGGAACUGCAUCUGAUACUGGUAAGCUAGAGUUUUGGAGAGGGAAGUAGAAUUUCAGGUGUAGCGGUGAAAUGCAUAGAGAUCUGAAGGAAUACCAGUGGCGAAGUCGACUUCCUGGCCAAAAACUGACGCUGAGGUGCGAAAGCGUGGGUAGCAAACGGGAUUAGAUACCCCAGUAGUCC
rnacentral:rRNA from 1 species